rnacentral:rRNA from 1 species
GAUGAACGCUGGCGGCGUGCCUAAUACAUGCAAGUCGAGCGAAGCGGGGACGGGUGAGUAACACGUGGAUAACCCCCUAUCAGACUGGGAUAACUUCGGGAAACCGGAGCUAAACCGGAUACUUAGAGAUGGAUCCGCGCUGCAUUAGCUAGUUGGUAAGGUAACGGCGUACAAAGGCAACGAUGAAUAGCCGACCUGAGAGGGUGAUCGGCCACACUGGAACUAAGACACGGUCCAGAAUCCGACGGGAGGCAGCAGUGGGGAAUCUUCCGCAAUGGGCGAAAGCCUGACGGAGCAACGACGCGUGAGUGAUGAAGGUCUUCGGGUCGUAAAGCUCUGUUAUUAGGGAAGCGGUACCUGAUCAGAAAGCCACGGCUAACUACGUGCCAGCAGCCGCGGUAAUAC